rnacentral:rRNA from 1 species
UUAAUAGGAUGUAUAUUUAAGCCCUGCGUGUAGGGUGGCUAGUUGGGAUCAAACUGGGUGAGGAGAAUAGGACCGCCGCCCGCCGUCCGCCGACUGUGAAGGGAUCGCCGCCACGCCGAUUGCCGCCUCCGGCCUGUUUCUCCGCUUCGGUCCGAGGACCGAGGACAACCUGCGGGAAGGGACCGGCGGCUGCCCGGCCACGCCCGGCUGUGCCGCUCAGCCGCGGAGCCGCCCGUCAUGGAGUGAUCCUGCAACCACGAGUUCGAGUUGCGGGAGUAGAGGAGGGACCAGCGACGAGUUACGGGGGUAGCAGGGUAGGGGAUGACCGGGUGCAGGGUUAGUCAGCGAGGUGAGGGAUCGAGCGUUAGAAGUCAGACCGUCGAGUAGUGGAGUUCAUCAGAUGAUCGUGUUACAGAAGUCGUCCUAGUCCCCGAAGAAGAUGUUGGUGUCGGCCUUCUUGUUCUUUUAUAGGACGGAUCACUACAACUUCUUCUCCUCCUUCUCCACCUCUUAGUUCUUCAAUUCCUUCUAUAACUAAUUCUUCUGGUCCUUCAACUCCUACUAUAACUAAUGCUUCUGGUUCUUCACCUGUACCUAAACUGUCCUGUUCAGAUACACAACACAGGAUGGUUAUCAAAAACAAACGUACCAAUGUACCCACUUAUGACAGGUCUACCUAUCAAUAUCAGAUAUACGAAUAUAUUUACUACUAACAAGUUAAGUUCACAGUCUAACAACAGUUGCAGGAAUCUUUACAUGUAUUAUUAGAGUUUAAACGUUCACGAAAAUGUUUAGGCAAUACACCUGUGUUGCAGGCGUUAUAACUUCCUUUAUACGGGAUCUCCGUUAUUAUUUCAACAAUAAAUAU